GCCUAGGCCUGUUCGAUGAAGCACCAACAAGCCCCACAGCUUUGUUGCUUUUGCUAUGCCCACUGGGACCAGUGAGAGAAGUGCGGUCUUAUCCCUGGGAGGAGAGAAAGAGCCAGCAUCUGCAGGCGCCCACAGGAUGUCAAGAAACUGUGCAAGAGAGGAAAGAACAUACAUUUGAGAGCCCAAAAGACCAGGGUUUAAGUCCUGGUUCCACCAAUUCCUUGCUGUUUUGGUCUUCGAACAGCCAUUGAACUUCAAGCCUCAGUUUCCUCGUGUGUUAAGUAAGAACAGUACCACCCACUUCACCAAAUCAUUGUGAAGAUCAAGUGAGAUCGCAGUCAUCAAUGUUUUUGUAAACUGUGGGCCAGGCAAAAUGAAAACUUCCUGCUCAGAGUUUAA
rnacentral:lncRNA from 1 species